rnacentral:rRNA from 1 species
AUUAUGAGAGUUUGAUCCUGGCUCAGGACGAACGCUGGCGGCGUGCCUAAUACAUGCAAGUCGAACGCUUCUUUCCUCCCGAGUGCUUGCACUCAAUUGGAAAGAGGAGUGGCGGACGGGUGAGUAACACGUGGGUAACCUACCCAUCAGAGGGGGAUAACACUUGGAAACAGGUGCUAAUACCGCAUAACAGUUUAUGCCGCAUGGCAUAAGAGUGAAAGGCGCUUUCGGGUGUCGCUGAUGGAUGGACCCGCGGUGCAUUAGCUAGUUGGUGAGGUAACGGCUCACCAAGGCCACGAUGCAUAGCCGACCUGAGAGGGUGAUCGGCCACACUGGGACUGAGACACGGCCCAGACUCCUACGGGAGGCAGCAGUAGGGAAUCUUCGGCAAUGGACGAAAGUCUGACCGAGCAACGCCGCGUGAGUGAAGAAGGUUUUCGGAUCGUAAAACUCUGUUGUUAGAGAAGAACAAGGACGUUAGUAACUGAACGUCCCCUGACGGUAUCUAACCAGAAAGCCACGGCUAACUACGUGCCAGCAGCCGCGGUAAUACGUAGGUGGCAAGCGUUGUCCGGAUUUAUUGGGCGUAAAGCGAGCGCAGGCGGUUUCUUAAGUCUGAUGUGAAAGCCCCCGGCUCAACCGGGGAGGGUCAUUGGAAACUGGGAGACUUGAGUGCAGAAGAGGAGAGUGGAAUUCCAUGUGUAGCGGUGAAAUGCGUA